AAUAUUGCGCAAUGGAGGGAACUCUGACGCAGCGACGCCGCGUGAGCGAUGAAGGUCUNCGGAUCNUNAAGCUCUGUCCUUGGGGNAGAAGGGAGCCGUAAGGCUUCUUGACGGUACCCAUGGAGGAAGCCCCGGCUAACUACGUGCCAGCAGCCGCGGUAAUACGUAGGGGGCAAGCGUUGUCCGGAAUUAUUGGGCGUAAAGGGUGCGUAGGCGGCCCUUUAAGUCAGAUGUGAAAGACCACGGCUUAACCGUGGGGCUGCAUUUGAAACUGGAAGGCUUGAGUAUCGGAGAGGGUAGUGGAAUUCCCAGUGUAGCGGUGAAAUGCGUAGAUAUUAGGAGGAACACCAGUGGCGAAGGCGACUCUCUGGACUGUAACUGACGCUGAGGCACGAAAGCGUGGGGAGCGAAC
rnacentral:rRNA from 1 species